AGCCUGCCCAGUGACUAAGUUAAACGGCCGCGGUACCCUAACCGUGCAAAGGUAGCGCAAUCACUUGUUCUUUAAAUGAGGACUAGUAUGAACGGCAUCACGAGGGUUACACUGUCUCCCUAUUCCAUUCAGUGAAACUGAUCUUCCCGUGAAGAAGCGGGAAUAUAAAUAUAAGACGAGAAGACCCCAUGGAGCUUUAAACUCAGUGUCAUCUGCCACUUCAAUACCCUCUUAAUUACGCAGACCAUGAUAACUAGUUUUCGGUUGGGGUGACCGCGGAGUAAAACAAAACCUCCACAACGAAAGGAACUAACAACCUAAUCCAAGAGCAACAUCUCUAAGAAUCAACAAAUUGACUUAAUUGAUCCAAUUACUUGAUCAACGAACCAAGUUACCCUGGGGAUAACAGCGCAAUCCAUUUCAAGAGCUCAUAUCGACAAAUGGGUUUACGACCUCGAUGUUGGAUCAGGGUAUCCCAGUGGCGCAGCAGCUACUAACGGUUCGUUUGUUCAACGAUUAAA
rnacentral:rRNA from 1 species